UACGUAGGGUGCGAGCGUUAAUCGGAAUUACUGGGCGUAAAGCGUGCGCAGGCGGUUCGUUGUGUCGGCGGUGAAAGCCCCGGGCUUAACCUGGGAAUGGCCGUCGAAACUGGCGAACUGGAGUGUGGCAGAGGGGGGUGGAAUUCCGCGUGUAGCAGUGAAAUGCGUAGAGAUGUGGAGGAAUACCGAUGGCGAAGGCAGCCUCCUGGGCCAACACUGACGCUCAUGCACGAAAGCGUGGGGAGCAAACAGG
rnacentral:rRNA from 1 species